UUCAUGAGAAAAGAUUAACAACAUCAGCAGUUCCAACACUGAACUUACUUGUGUCAGAGGCUGCCUUUAUUAAAAUAGAGCAACAAGACACCUGGAUGCAAAUGAAUAGAAGAAAAAGAAGAAGAUUUUAAACCUGACCACCAGGGGAGUGGAGAACCUGAUUGUCGAG